GCUACACCAGCAAUCUUUGUCUUCAGACUUCUAUCUGAGUGGGGAAUCCUCUUGCCUGGCCAGCAGCUGCCUGAGCAGCUCCAUGUCGCUGACUCUUCUCCAACCUCUAUGUACCUUCUUACAGAGCCAAAGGAACUCCUGAGGUGGCUGCAUGGGCCCUCUGAUGGAUUAGGAGCAUUUCCCCAUUUUCUUCCCAUGUAUCCAAAACCAAGGAUGCCACACACUUCAUGAUUCAGUUGCUUCAGUGAGGUUUCUGCCUGAUGAAAUCACCAGAGUGAACAUGUGUCCCUGGGAGACCUGGACCCAGACAAAGACUAUGUUUCCCAGCCCCACUGACAUGUAGUUAGCUGCGAUGAACUUUGAUGCCUUGCAAGAUGGUCAAGAUACAGCAUACAAGGAGCUUUGGUUCGUAAAUGACCACAGAGGGAAGCCACCCUCUGACCAUGUAACACACACAUAGAAAAAAAACCCCACUAUUGUGUUAAUAAGCCUACUCUGCAUCCUAUCACAGUAUCCAGAAUAAUCCUAACCAUAUCCUAAUAUGUCUGUGAGAGAAGAUGAAGAGUUUUGAGAUGGUCGCCCGAGCUUGCAAGGCCAGUUCUGCCACCAGUUCUGCCACCUCUAAAUGAGCUCUAGAGAUGCUUACUCUGCCUACUCCCAUUCCUUUCCCAAACUUUUAUCAGUGUCUCUGAACAUAGCUUAGGUACCAUGGCUCUCAUCAUGUCUAUUUGGUGAACUUCCCAAUGGCAACAUGCCACCCCUGUUCCAUGCCCUCUUCAUCCUCCUUUGUCUAUAUUUAUUGUGAGUCUCAGUGACUUGGACCAAUGAUAAACAUAUUCAACCCUGACACCCUAGGAAAGGUAUUCAAAUUCUCAUGGAAAUAGAAUCCUCAACAGCACUGCCCCCUUUGUCAGUUCAUCCCCCAAAAUGAGUAAUAUUCACCGAUCAACCUGGAUUCAAAAUAGCUACACAGCUAACCUUACUCUGGAAUAUGGUUAGGAUUUGUAACGUCAAAGUAAACACUGUGCUCUGCUCUCUUUUUUUGCCAUUUUUUCAUGCUAAUCUUCCACGUGUCAACCUUGGAUUUCUAUUUUUUAUUUUAAUAGUUGUAUGAGAUUACGUUACACAAAUAAAAAUAACUUAUUUAACUAUUCUUUUCUUGAUGAACAUUUAUAAUUUUCUUUUGUACAACUUCAGUUUAUUUUCAGUAAGAAAAAAACUGCUACUAUGGUAUCUUCAAAAAGACAAAUCAUUAAAAUAUAAUGAAUCCUGGCCUCUAGGAAAAAAUUUACCUCUAUGAAGUAGUAAUUUCCUAUGGGAUCUCAGAGUUUCAGCUAGUGGCUUCCAGACCACAAACUGUAACCAAACUGUAAAACUAUGUGUGGUAUGUUAAAAGUUACCUAUUUGUUAAUAAUAAACUUAUGAACAAGAAUCUUUCAAACUGUUCGCUUGGGAGUUCAGGACCCAUGAAAAGUCCAAUAGUUGUGAAAAUUGCUCAGUAAUCUAAGUACUCCUAGAAUUUUCAAAGUGUAUUAUGAUGUUGGUUUUUAACCUUAACUUUGGAAAAGAGGUAAUGAUGAUGGUUUUUGUACUCUGUUAUCAUUACCACCUAAGAGGACUGACUCUCUCCCCAAAAGGUUGAAUGACUGAGGAGCCUAAAUAAACACAGCAGGAGAUUCAGCAAUGAGAGGUUUCACUGAAUGCAGACACAGAGCCUUUUAGUCCAAGGCUGGGGUGUGGAGGCCUCAUGCAACAGAGGAGAAAAAAGAAAAAGAUGAAUCGUCCAUGAAUCACAUCUUGAAAACAGUGCUCUAGGAAUCCAGAAGUUAUAGCUGGAAAAGCAAUGCUGAGGACAAAGUCCAGUGUGAAAGUCUGAAUCCCAUCAGGAAGCAUCCUCCCACUUGUAGCAGCCCACCUGGAGCACCAGGCCUCCCAGGCCACUGCAGUGGGGAAGAGAUGGAGGAGGCCAACUGAGGCACUUAGUAGCUUUGGCCUGAAGCCAUACCAGUCUCUUCUGUCCAAAGUCCAUUGACAAAGCAGUCAUCUAGGCCAAUUGAACUGCAAGGGAAGCUGGGGGUGUGGAGAAUGACAAUGGAUACUUUUGGACACCAUCUGUAACAUAGCUAAUCAAAAGGCUUUAUUUGGAUAGAAAUCCUUCCAAACACCGUAUGUGUUUUCAUUAGAAGCAAACAACUGAAGAAUUCAACAGACCCUAUAAUAGACACCUACAGUUCAAUGUAGCCCAAGGAGACAUAUCUUCUGAAAAAUAAGUAACACCUUCUUCUACCUUAAUAUUUUAUAAAUGGCAUACUCCUCUGUAAAAUAUCAAAUAUGAUUAAUUUAAAAUAAACUCAUUGGACAUAAUUGUUUUUAAAGUACUGUGGACAAAAUAUUUAGAACUCUGUUGUAACUGUGAUAUAGAAGUUCCCCUUUAGACCAGAAGCUUUAAAGAUUUAGACAUAAAGCCCACCAAAUAAGGGUAAGCUAAGACAAGACUGCUGCAUCCCACAGGCCCUGGGAGUGUCAUUUGUGAGCCGAGUGUGUAUGGUGUGGUGUGGGGUUAUUCAAAAAGACAAAGGAAAAAAACCCCUGGAAUUAUGCAACACAGCAGCCCUGAGCGGAAAUGUGGGAAAAUACUCAUUUUAAUAUUUAUUGGAAAACAUUAUCUGCCUUAGGAACUGUUAUUAAAGACCUCAAGAAGAGAGUGACAGCCAAAUAAAAUUAGAGAGCAUUUUUGUCUAAAAUCUUCUGAAAUCAGGUAAAACUGAACUAAUAAAAGAAUUUAGGUGAUGGCCUGAAAAUGUAAGCAUAGAAAUAAAUGAAA